AUCAUAUCCUCGCUUGAACCCUGCCAUGCUGGUUCAGCAAAGGGAAAAUACUUAAAGUGCUUGAAGUGGAUCUUCUCAUAUGAGCAUAUCUGCUGGAGAUAAGGCCUUCAUUGUCAACAUCACAAUGGGUACCUGCAAAACAAGAGAGGACAUAUAAAAAGCAAAUCAAAUCCAGGCGGCACAGCACUGGAGGAAGACAGAGACCCAAGGAAGACCACAAUGCUUUCCAGCCCAUGGCACAGGUGGACCAUAGACACGCCCUUGCCUCCAAGCCACUCAGCAAAAUGAAGGAUGUUACCGGGUCCACGAGGGACAGGGCCAACCUGCGGCGGGAGCCACCACAAUACCAAGUUGUGACUGGAACAUACAGAGGAGCCAGGCCAGUCCCAAAUGACGCAGAGCAGACAAGGCAGAGCAGAGCUGGUUCCUGUGGAGGGGACCCUGGGUAUCAAGUCACAAACAAGCCUUCGAGUCACAGCACAAGUAAAUCAACCACCUCAGAAGAACCUGUCUCUUGGUUAAGCACACCACCAUUCCACCUGAGGGUGAGUGAGCUCAAACCAGGGUGGAGACAGAGCUGAAGAGACAGAAGUACUUACAUAACAAUACUGACCUAAACACAAGCUCAAGUGGAAAUGACUGCAAAAGAAAAAAGCCAACCCACUUUUCCCAGGAACACAGAAUGUGAAGUGGAAACCAUGGAAAAUGUAAAACAACAUUUUAAACUUCCUCUCCUUUAAAGCCCUAUAAACACUGUCAUUCAUUUUUAUUCUCUGUUCCUUCUUUCUCUGAUCUGGGAUGAAGAUGGCCAUUUAAAAAUGGUCAUAAAAGGAAUGCUGAAACAGAAAACUCAC